GCAGUGGAAGCCCGCAAGGGCGACCGCGUACCUUUUGUAUAAUGGGUCAGCGACUUAUGGUUCGUAGCAAGCUUAACCGCAUAGGGAAGGCGAAGGGAAACCGAGUCUGAAUAGGGCGUAAAGUUGCGAGCUGUAGACCCGAAACCGGACGAUCUAGCCAUGGCCAGGGUGAAGGUGCGGUAACACGUACUGGAGGCCCCGAACCCACGCCCGUUGAAAAGGUCGGGGAUGAGUUGUGGUUAGGAGUGAAAAGCUAAUCGAGUUCGGAGAUAGCUGGUUCUCCCCCGAAAGCUAUUUAGGUAGCGCCUCGAGUAUUACUUCUGGGGGUAGAGCACUGUUAUGGCUAGGGGGUCAUAGCGACUUACCAAACCAUGGCAAACUCCCGAAUACCAGAACGUAUCAGCUCGGGAGACACACGGCGGGUGCUAACGUCCGUCGUGAAGAGG
rnacentral:rRNA from 1 species